GGGGCGUCGCCAAGCGGUAAGGCAGCAGGUUUUGAUCCUGCCAUGCGUUGGUUCGAAUCCAGCCGCCCUGCCA
rnacentral:tRNA from 2 species